rnacentral:rRNA from 1 species
CUUUACUGUAGCUUGGAAUUGGAUUUGGGUAUGCUUUGCGCAGUAUACCUGGGACCCAAAGAUAAUAUAUUUGCGGAUAUAUAUUAGCCUUCAGUGAGAUACCACUCUAAGUAUAGAAGAACUCUAACUUUGCCCUAACGGAACAGGCCAAAGAACAGUUUCACCUAAACAGUUUGACUGGGGCGGUCGCCUCCUAAAAAGUAACGGAGGCGUACAAAGGUUUCUUCAGACUGGUCGGAAAUCAGUCUCAGAGUAUAAAGGCAUCCCGAAGCUUGACUGCAAGACCUACAAGUCGAGCAGAGACGAAAGUCGGUCUUAGUGAUCCGACAGUUCUGAGUGGCCCGGCUGUCGCUCAACGGAUCCCCGUUA